GGGUUAGUAGGUUGGUCAUGCCUCUGGUAUGUACUGGUCUCACUGAUUCCUCCUUCCUGAAGAACCGUUAUGCCAUUUAUUUGGUGUGGCGAGGAAUCAGGACUGUUACUUUGAAAAAAUUAGAGUGUUUAAAGCAGGCUUACGCUUGAAUACAUUAGCAUGGAAUAAUGAAAUAGGACGUUUAAUUCUAUUUUGUUGGUUUCUAGGAUUGACGUA
rnacentral:rRNA from 1 species